rnacentral:lncRNA from 1 species
GAAUUCUCAGGUAAACUGGAACCACGUUGGCCUGUGACCAUAAAGAUAGUGGAUGGUGUAAGAAGAAGGUUCCCUGUGUCUUCUAUGGAACCCAGCCUGCCAUCCAGUACCCCACUCUCAGGUCCCCAAAGGAAGGCUGAUAGGGCUGUUUCCAUAUAACCAUCCCAACACUGAGAAACAGGAGGGUUCCCCUAGUGUGGUGACCAGCUUGGGCUACAGAGUGAGACCCUAUUUUAAAAACAAUUUGCUCUUACUGAAUCUUAAAAUCUUGAAUAAAGAUUGAAAA